rnacentral:rRNA from 1 species
UACGUAGGGUGCAAGCGUUAAUCGGAAUUACUGGGCGUAAAGAGCGCGCAGGCGGUCGUACAAGUCGCGUGUGAAAGCCCCCGGCUCAACUGGGGAGGGUCACGCGAUACUGUUCGACUCGAAGGCAGGAGAGGGAAGCGGAAUUCCCGGUGUAGUGGUGAAAUGCGUAGAUAUCGGGAGGAACACCAGUGGCGAAGGCGGCUUCCUGGCCUGUUCUUGACGCUGAGGCGCGAAAGCUAGGGUAGCAAACGGGG